rnacentral:tRNA from 1 species
UGCUUUAUAGUCAAUGAUGAUAUUAGACUGCAAUUCUAAAGGAGUAGUAGAACUACUGAGGCUU